rnacentral:rRNA from 1 species
AGUGAACGCUGGCGGCAGGCCUAACACAUGCAAGUCGAGCGGCAGCGCGGGGGCAACCCUGGCGGCGAGCGGCGGACGGGUGAGGAAUUCGUCGGAAUCUGCCUUUUUGUGGGGGAUAACGUAGGGAAACUUACGCUAAUACUGCAUACGUCCUACGGGAGAAAGUGGGGGACCGCAAGGCCUCACGCAGAAAGAUGAGCCGACGACCGAUUAGCUAGUUGGUGGGGUAAAGGCCCACCAAGGCGACGAUCGGUAGCUGGUCUGAGAGGAUGAUCAGCCACACUGGGACUGAGACACGGCCCAGACUCCUACGGGAGGCAGCAGUGGGGAAUAUUGGACAAUGGGCGCAAGCCUGAUCCAGCCAUGCCGCGUGUGUGAAGAAGGCCUUCGGGUUGUAAAGCACUUUUGUCCGGAAAGAAAUCCCUGGAGCUAAUACCUUCGGGGGAUGACGGUACCGGAAGAAUAAGCACCGGCUAACUUCGUG